GACCUUGUGGUGCAGCGGUAGUGCGUCUGACUCCAGAGGGCAUGGUUGCGUGUUCAAAUCUUGUCAAGGACU